rnacentral:rRNA from 1 species
UACGGAGGGUGCAAGCGUUAUCCGGAUUCACUGGGUUUAAAGGGUGCGUAGGCGGGUUGGUAAGUCCGUGGUGAAAUCUCCGAGCUUAACUCGGAAACUGCCGUGGAUACUAUCAAUCUUGAAUAUCGUGGAGGUAAGCGGAAUAUGUCAUGUAGCGGUGAAAUGCUUAGAUAUGACAUAGAACACCAAUUGCGUAGGCAGCUUACUACACGAUCAUUGACGCUGAGACGCGAAAGCGUGGGGAGCAAACAGG